GACGAACGCUGGCGGCGUGCCUAAUACAUGCAAGUUGAGCGCUGAAGGUUGGUACUUGUACCGACUGGAUGAGCAGCGAACGGGUGAGUAACGCGUGGGGAAUCUGCCUUUGAGCGGGGGACAACAUUUGGAAACGAAUGCUAAUACCGCAUAAAAACUUUAAACACAAGUUUUAAGUUUGAAAGAUGCAAUUGCAUCACUCAAAGAUGAUCCCGCGUUGUAUUAGCUAGUUGGUGAGGUAAAGGCUCACCCAGGCGAUGAUACAUAGCCGACCUGAGAGGGUGAUCGGCGACAUUGGGACUGAGACACGGCCCAAACUCCUACGGGAGGCAGCAGUAGGGAAUCUUCGGCAAUGGACGAAAGUCUGACCGAGCAACGCCGCGUGAGUGAAGAAGGUUUUCGGAUCGUAAAACUCUGUUGGUAGAGAAGAACGUUGGUGAGAGUGGAAAGCUCAUCAAGUGACGGUAACUACCCAGAAAGGGACGGCUAACUACGUG
rnacentral:rRNA from 1 species